CGGGAUGGAACAGUGCUGCUUGCUCCCUUGGGAGUGGAGGUUGAGAGCUUCCCAUGGUGCAUGCCAGUGAAUCCCUACAGGCAGCAGGGUUGCUUCUGCAUUUCCAGGUCACAGCUGGAUGUGCACAGAAGUAGAGUGCAGAUGCCAAAAGAGACUGCAGCGAGCUGGGCCUGACCUGCUCCCUCUGCAUCGAGAGCAAUUGCAGCAGAUCAAGGAUCAGAGGCUCCUCUUUGUCACCUUCCAUGCAAUAACCUGCUUCCUGACAGAAAAAAUGUCAAAGGACAACUAUUCCAAGGAUGAAUAUAUCACUGGGCAGUCUUACAGCACUAAUUUGAGCUUUCUGAAGAAACUUGGAGCUGUUCUUUUUCAUUUUUUCCAGGGCUACAGCUGUGUAAAGACUUAGACAUGCCCAUCUUUCCUUCAAUGCUCAUUUUAAGUGCAUGUGUCAUUUUUCAUUAUUUUAUAUGCUAAUGGGAAAAUCCUGAA